rnacentral:rRNA from 1 species
AGAGUUUGAUCAUGGCUCAGGACGAACGCUGGCGGCGUGCUUAACACAUGCAAGUCGAACGGAAAGGCCCCUUCGGGGGUACUCGAGUGGCGAACGGGUGAGUAACACGUGGGUGAUCUGCCCUGCACUUUGGGAUAAGCCUGGGAAACUGGGUCUAAUACCGAAUAGGACCGCAUGCUUCAUGGUGUGUGGUGGAAAGCUUUUGCGGUGUGGGAUGGGCCCGCGGCUUAUCAGCUUGUUGGUGGGGUAAUGGCCUACCAAGGCGACGACGGGUAGCCGGCCUGAGAGGGUGUCCGGCCACACUGGGACUGAGAUACGGCCCAGACUCCUACGGGAGGCAGCAGUGGGGAAUAUUGCACAAUGGGCGCAAGCCUGAUGCAGCGACGCCGCGUGGGGGAUGACGGCCUUCGGGUUGUAAACCUCUUUCAGUAUCGGCGAAGCUCCAGGAUUUUUCUUGGGGUGACGGUAGGUACAGAAGAAGCACCGGCCAACUACGUGCCAGCAGCCGCGGUAAUACGUAGGGUGCGAGCGUUGUCCGGAAUUACUGGGCGUAAAGAGCUCGUAGGUGGUUUGUCACGUUGUCUGUGAAAACUCACAGCUUAACUGUGGGCGUGCGGGCGAUACGGGCAGACUGGAGUACUGUAGGGGAGACUGGAAUUCCUGGUGUAGCGGUGGAAUGCGCAGAUAUCAGGAGGAACACCGGUGGCGAAGGCGGGUCUCCGGGCAGUAACUGACGCUGAGGAGCGAAAGCGUGGGGAGCGAACAGGAUUAGAUACCCUGGUAGUCCAA